CCUACGGGUGGCAGCAGUGGGGAAUAUUGCACAAUGGGGGAAACCCUGAUGCAGCGACGCCGCGUGAGUGAAGAAGUAUUUCGGUAUGUAAAGCUCUGUCAGCAGGGAAGAAAGAAAUGACGGUACCUGACCAAGAAGCCCCGGCUAACUACGGGCCAGCAGCCGCGGUAAUACGUAGGGGGCAAGCGUUAACCGGAAUUACUGGGUGUAAAGGGAGCGUAGACGGUUAAGUAAGUCUGGAGUGAAAGGCCGGGGCCUAACCCCGGGACUGCUCUGGAAACUAGUGGACUUGAGUGCAGGAGAGGUAAGCGGAAUGCCUGGUGUAGCGGUGAAAUGCGUAGAUAUUAGGAGGAACACCAGUGGCGAAGGCGGCUUACUGGACUGUAACUGACGCUGAGGCUCGAAAGCGUGGGGAGCAAACAGGAUUAGAUACCCCUGUAGUC
rnacentral:rRNA from 1 species